ACACAUGCAGUCGACGGUAACAGGACUUCGGUCGCUGACGAGUGGCGCACGGGUGAGUAACGCGUGGGUUACCUGCCCAUAAGUGGGGAACAACUUGGAGAAAUCCAAGCUAAUACCGCAUAAUACCUUCGGGUUAAAGAGGGGGAUCUUCGGACCUCUCGCUUAUGGAUGGUCCCGCGUCUGAUUAGCUAGUUGGUAGGGUAAUGGCCUACCAAGGCAAUGAUCAGUAGCUGGUCUGAGAGGAUGAUCAGUCACACUGGAACUGAGACACGGUCCAGACCCCUACGGGAGGCAGCAGUGGGGAAUUUUGCACAAUGGGCGAAAGCCUGAUGCAGCGACGCCGCGUGCGGGAAGAAGGCCUUCGGGUUGUAAACCGCUUUCAACAGGGAAGAAGGAAUGAGAGCUAAUACCUCUCUGCCUUGACGGUACCUGUAGAAGAAGCACCGGCUAAUUUCGUGCCAGCAGCCGCGGUAAUACGAAAGGUGCAAGCGUUGUUCGGAUUUACUGGGCGUAAAGAGAUCGUAGGUGGCUUGUUAAGUCGGAUGUGAAAUCCCGGGGCUCAACCCCGGAACUGCAUCCGAUACUGGCAGGCUUGAGUUUGGGGGGGGUAAGCGGAAUUCCGUGUGUAGCAGUGAAAUGCGUAGAUAUACGGAGGAACACCUGAGGCGAAGGCGGCUUACUGGACCAAUACUGACACUGAGGAUCGAAAGCGUGGGUAGCAAACAGGAUUAGAUACCCUGGUAGUCCACGCCCUAAACGAUGUCAACUAGCCGUUGCGGGUAUCGACCCCUGCAGUGGCGCAGCUAACGCGAUAAGUUGACCGCCUGGGGAGUACGGUCGCAAGAUUAAAACUCAAAGGAAUUGACGGGGGCCCGCACA
rnacentral:rRNA from 1 species